rnacentral:snoRNA from 1 species
GUCCAUCCGAUGAGGACGAGUGGUGACGUACUACUGCAGCCUUUCCCAAGCUUCAGGAUUGGUUUCAUCCCUCAUCCGCUGAAAGCUGGAUAUUCUUCCACGAAGAGC